GGGGCUAUAACUCAGCGGGAGAGUGCCACACUGGCAGUGUGGAAGUCGAGAGUUCAAAUCUCUUUAGCUCCACCA
rnacentral:tRNA from 1 species